UGAGUGUACAUGGGUGUGGGCACCUGCA
rnacentral:piRNA from 1 species